GCGAGCAUCAUAGCAGGGCUUUCUUUGGUCAGGGAGCCCUAAUGGUGUGUCAGGAUUAUAUAAUUCACUCUCCUAGGGAAUCCAAAAGAAAGAUAAAUUGUUUGGUUGGGAGAAAUUAACCACAGAUUGAUCCUAUCUGUUUUAAUUUAGCACAGGAUGGCUUAGACUACUCCAAGGAGCAGAUGGGCUAUUGAUCUGACAAUAGAAUAAUCAGAGCACCAAAGCUGGGUGGGGAGAGACUUCGGAGCACUUGGGGCUUUGCCAGGGUGGCCCUCUCGGAAGGAAAGCUAUCCCUUAAUUGAGCAAAUGCCUUUGCCUGCUCACAGGUCUUAUUAGGGCAAGGACUCCCAAGGUCUGAACCUGGCAUGGGCACGGAGCUCUCAUGUAAAGAGGCCACAGCUUAUGCCAGGCUUGCUGGCAGAGAGAGGCAACUUGGCAGCAGAAGGAUGCUGCUGUGUCCCAAGCGCUGGUUAGAUUGGCACUGGAACAUGUGUCUGCUACAUCCAAGCCACAACCUAUUGACAACAAGGCUGAGCAUCCCACUGAAAAGCAGAUCAGGAGGCCAGUGACCUUGAGCCUGCAUGAGGGAACCGAUGAAUAGGAAAAUGAUGGACGGGACUGACUCACUUGGAAGCUGAACCCAAAAACCAGGUCAGUUCAGGAUUGAGGCAGAGGGUGUGGUUCCUAAAUACACUGACAUUAUGGCAGAGCUGGCAGUAGUUGGGUUCAACAGAAGAGACUGGAGAAAGCCAGGAGAGGUGUUAUGAUUGACACUUUGUGAGAAUCUUGAGACACAUGUGUGAGUGAGUAUAUGUGUGCAUACAAACGCACACAGAAUUACUUUAGGGACCAAUUCCAGAUCAUUUAGCACACAGAUUUAGACGUGAAGACUCUGAAGUUACACUUGUUCAGUUGCUAAGUCGUGUUUGACUUUGUGACCCCAUGGGCUGCAGCCCACCAGGCUUCCCUGUCCCUCACCAUCUCCUGGAGUUUGCUCAAACUCAUGUCCAUUGAUUCGGUGAUGCCAUCUAACUAUCUCAUUCAUCCUCUGCCUUCCCCUUCUCCUCCUGCCUUCAAUCUUUCCCAGCAUCAGGGCCUUUUCCAAUGAGUCGGCUCAAAUUUAAAUUGCUGUGGGACCUUGAGUAACUCAUUUAAAUUUUCUGGGCCUCAGUUUUGCCACAAGUGAAACAUAGUGGAAACUAACAGUGCCACUGAUCCUGUGGGAUUGCAGAUACAGUUUGUUGCAUAAUUCCUGAAAUAUAGCUUGAUAAUUUUGUGCCUUUUUACUAUUAUUAUUUUGUUCAUUAUGUUUAUAUGUACCCCCUAGAAUAAACCCCUUUUCCUUGAGGAAACACAAAUAGUUCUUCCCUUCCUUGCAACUAGGAAGUCUUAACUAAGGUAAACUCUCAUUUUUCAGUGCAAAGAAUUUUACAGCAGGAAAUACCACCUCUCUCUAUUUCUUUCUAACUUUGAAACCUGUUUCCUUUCCAGCCAAAAGAAAUGAUCCUUAUAUGUCAAUGCUGAUCUCUAUCUCUCCUUUUUAAUGAAAAUUUCAUUGAUUACCAUAUUCUGACUUUUGUCUCUGCUGGAUUUUGUCUGCAUCCAAACAAGAUUUUGUGGAAGUGUAUCUGAGAGCUAUUUCAACCACCAUAAUUGUAUGCUGUUUUAAUAGUGGUGUUUGUGAUAUUUCAUGCUUAAAUCUUCUCUCUCCCAACAAAGUAUAAGCUUUUUGAGGGUAAGGGCUAUGCUUUGCAUUUAUUUAUUGCCUAAAGUGCUUAAUAUAAUGCGAGAAUUACCAAGGGAAUUUCAGAAAUUUAUAUUAUUAGAUAAACUUGGGUAAACCACGAAGACUGUCUCCAUUAAGCGGUUCUUCCGUUUCUGAUUUCACCUUUGGCUAGCCCACUGGGCAAUUUCACAAUAUUAAUUUAAUAGUGGAAGACUUGAAGGUAAAUAAGUUCAAGUCCAGCACAUCUGGUUCUCCCAUUAUAUAUGCAGCUAAAAAAUGCUUGAGGUUGGCAAAAUCAUGUCUACUUUCUGAACCUCAGUUUCAAUAUGGGGCUAAUUGAAGCUGAUAGAUGUUUUGAUCUCGAAUUUUUCUGCCAUAUAGAUCUAGUGUCCAUGAAAAAUGAUGACUGAUUUCCUUAUUUUCAUUCUUUUCUAAAACUCUUUGCAACCUCAUGAACUGUAGCUCACCAGGCUCCCCUGUCCAUGAAAUUCCUGAGGGGGACUUUCCAAGCCAGGGAUCGAACCCAGGUCUCCUGCAUUGCUCUUUAACAGGAUUUACUUGUGUUUGGAUCUUCAGAGUGGUCCCAGAGGUAUGUAGUAUGGUGGUUAAGAUGAGGGCUUUAGAAUCUCAGACCUGGGUUUGAAUUUUAGCAGGUCACUGAACCACUUUGAUUCUCAGGAAUAAAACCUAUCUCUGCUCUUUGGCAAGAGGACCUGAAGUGAUGAUGUAUAUGAAGCAUACGUGUUUAAAAGAUUGUGGUAAAGGAUAGAGCUUGGAUUAUAAUUCACAUCUGUCUCAAACCCACAGGGCUGAGCAUCAGCCAUCUCUCACUGGGCACUGUGUAUUCGGGAAGGUUUUUCUUUUUACUUGGUUGCACUGGUGAAGGGUAAGAUACAGCUGAUCCUUAGAAAAGCUUUGCUUAUUGAAUGUGGUAAUAGGAGAUGCUGGAGAUGCACUUAGUGUGGGGAGAGGGAAGGUCUGGCUGAGACUAGAUAGAGAAACAGCAAAACAUCAGCAACAGCCUUGGUCUUUGCAUUCAGCCUUUAGUGAAUGUAACACCUCCAUGGUACUCAGCAUCUAAGGCCUUGAAAAUGACUCUCACAGGGUCUUCCCUCUUUUGAAAGUCAGUUUAUGCAAAUGAAUGGUCUGUGGACCAUUUAUGUGACCUUAGUAGAUUUCUCCUACAUCUGCAAUCCUGUUUGCUUGCAUAUCGAAGAAGGAUGCUAAUAAUUACC
ensembl:lncRNA